GUAGCUCAGCUGGAUAGAGCAUCAGCCUUCUAAGCUGAGGGUCACAGGUUCGAAUCCUGUC
rnacentral:tRNA from 2 species